UACGUAGGGUGCAAGCGUUGUCCGGAAUUAUUGGGCGUAAAGAGCUCGUAGGCGGUUCGCUAAGUCGGGUGUGAAACCUCCAGGCUCAACCUGGAGACGCCACUCGAUACUGGCGUGACUAGAGUUCGGUAGGGGAUCACGGAAUUCCUGGUGUAGCGGUGAAAUGCGCAGAUAUCAGGAGGAACACCGGUGGCGAAGGCGGUGAUCUGGGCCGACACUGACGCUGUAGAGCGAAAGCGUGGGGAGCGAACAGG
rnacentral:rRNA from 1 species